CUUGUACUUCCUCUGUUCGGAAUUACUUGUCACAAAAAUGGAUGUAUCUACAACUAAAAUACAUCUAGAUACAUUCAUUUUUUGGACGAGUAAUUCCGAACGGAGGAAGUAGAUG
rnacentral:pre_miRNA from 1 species